AUUGAACGCUGGCGGCAGGCCUAACACAUGCAAGUCGAGCGGGGUUUUCGGACCUAGCGGCGGACGGGUGAGUAAUGCGUAGGAAGCUACCCGAUAGAGGGGGAUACCAGUUGGAAACGACUGUUAAUACCGCAUAAUGUCUACGGACCAAAGUGUGGGACCUUCGGGCCACAUGCUAGCGGAUGCGCCUACGUGGGAUUAGCUAGUUGGUGAGGUAAUGGCUCACCAAGGCGACGAUCCCUAGCUGGUUUGAGAGGAUGAUCAGCCACACUGGAACUGAGACACGGUCCAGACUCCUACGGGAGGCAGCAGUGGGGAAUAUUGGACAAUGGUCGCAAGCCUGAUCCAGCCAUGCCGCGUGUGUGAAGAAGGCCUUCGGGUUGUAAAGCACUUUCAGUAGGGAGGAAGCGUUGUGUGUUAAUAGUACACAGCGUUGACGUUACCUACAGAAGAAGCACCGGCUAACUCCGUGCCAGCAGCCGCGGUAAUAC
rnacentral:rRNA from 1 species